CCUACGGGUGGCUGCAGUGGGGAAUAUUGGACAAUGGGCGAAAGCCUGAUCCAGCCAUGCCGCGUGUGUGAAGAAGGCCUUCGGGUUGUAAAGCACUUUCAGUGGGGAAGAAAGCCUUGGGGCUAAUACCCUCGAGGAAGGACAUCACCCACAGAAGAAGCACCGGCUAACUCCGUGCCAGCAGCCGCGGUAAUACGGAGGGUGCGAGCGUUAAUCGGAAUUACUGGGCGUAAAGCGCGCGUAGGCGGUCUGAUAAGCCGGUUGUGAAAGCCCCGGGCUCAACCUGGGAACGGCAUCCGGAACUGUCAGGCUAGAGUGCAGGAGAGGAAGGUAGAAUUCCCGGUGUAGCGGUGAAAUGCGUAGAGAUCGGGAGGAAUACCAGUGGCGAAGGCGGACUUCUGGACUGACACUGACGCUGAGGUGCGAAAGCGUGGGUAGCAAACAGGAUUAGCUACCCUAGUAGUC
rnacentral:rRNA from 1 species